UACGUAGGGGGCAAGCGUUGUCCGGAAUCAUUGAGCGUAAAGAGCGUGUAGGCGGCCCGAUAAGUCCGCUGUGAAAGUCCAGGGCUCAACCCUGGAAUGCCGGUGGAUACUGUCGGGCUAGAGUACGGAAGAGGCGAGUGGAAUUCCUGGUGUAGCGGUGAAAUGCGCAGAUAUCAGGAGGAACACCGGUGGUGUAGACGGCUUUCUGGACCGUAACUGACGCUGAGACACGAAAGCGUGGGUAGCAAACAGG
rnacentral:rRNA from 1 species